AAAUAGUGUUACUUGCUCCUCUUGCUAUUUGAGAGGCCCUCAACCAGGGAUGGAGUUUGGCAGUGGAACAUCCUUCAGACAGAGCAGGGAGCAGCAGUGGAAAUGAAAAAGAGCCCGCUGGACCCGUCGAGAGCCGACAGCGCGUGGGGAACGUGGCCGGGGAGCCCUGCGGCCCCUCCGUACCCCUGGGGGAUGCUGAAGCCCUCCAUGCGGAGAGCGGUCCCGGCCCACGGCACCCUUCUCUCAAAAGCUACCUGACCUUUAACUGGUGUUUGCUCUGCCUUCCCGGCUGAAUAAUUGGCCGCCGUUAUCCGCAAACAGGCAAAUUAAUGUUUCUCCCUGAUUUAUGAAUUGAGAUCCGUGAGAUCUUGGUAUCAACAAAUUACUGAGUUAAGCCGUGGG